GUUAGAGCUUGCGGUGACCUGCAAACUAAUGGUGCUGGUGGUAGUUGAGUCCAUUACUAAUAGUAUGAUAAAUGGGCUUUUCAUAUAUAUAUGUAUGUAUAUAUAUAUUAUAUAUAGUAUUAUCCCUACUUUUGUAUCAUUUUGUCGUCGUCCCUUCGAAGGCCAUAAAGCCCGGCCUCCACCCGCCAGUAUUAAACCCCGCUAACGAAAUGCACCCCUAGCACAUUUCACGUGAGUCAAGCGAGCCGCCGACGCCGCAAUCUCACAAUGUGACCGUCUGUUGGAAAUACUGAGGGGUCCGUGGACCUCUGGUGUGCGGCUUCCCGCCUCUCGCUUCGACGCACCGCUAAGUCUCACCAUGCCACUGAACCUCUCCGCAGAUAUCUUCAGGGGUGCCCAAGUGAUGUCACAGCCCGUUGCAUCUACGGUAUUCUAACAGAGACAACCACUCAGGUUGACUUCAUGAUUCCAGUGCCAAGACAAUGCUUUUCCUAGCUUUAUGUUCACAACUCAACCAUGCAAAACUAUUAAUUUCCAUGUUAAUAGUUUUUCACAAUUUAUAACUAAAAAUUUGUGAGAAUCCUGUUUAGUUGAAACACAAAAACAUGCAACUUUAUAAACAGAAUAACUUAGUAUAUGUCUUUUUUUAUACUUUUUAUAACCCAAAAGUUUUUCUUUGUUUUUGAUAUUUUUUGUAAGAAUAAACAUGUUUAACCAUUACUGAUGUAAUGAAAAAAGCUUCAAGGAUGCAGCACAUUUUUUUUUUCUCCAGGGAAACAAGUUAAGUUUGAACUCGGGCACCCCGCGGCUUGACACUAGGAGCUAACUCUCUUCAUGCCAUGCAGAGCGACAGUGAAGUCCUCGCGUGAGUCUUCUUGCUCACAACCACCGUGCAAGGAGCACACAACAGUACUCACGCCUGCUUCGCGCGCGGUCGGAAACAGGAGAC